CGACUCCGUCCUCCCCUCCAGUCUUUCCCAGACCUCAGCUCGGCGGGGACCCGCCCUGUGGCCGGAGCCGAAUGGGCAGUGCUUCCAGGGAACUUCAGAGUAGAGCUGAGUGAUUUUCACAAAGAAGCAGAUUAUGUAUUGUUGGAAAGUCCGUGUUUAUCUCAUCUGAAACAGUGAAUAAAGGAGGAAGUCAUCGUAAUAACAGGACCAAAAAAAAAAA